rnacentral:rRNA from 1 species
AGAGUUUGAUCCUGGCUCAGAACGAACGCUGGCGGCAGGCUUAACACAUGCAAGUCGAACGUGAAGCCAGAGCUUGCUCUGGUGGAAAGUGGCAGACGGGUGAGUAACGCGUGGGAAUUUACCCAGUGGUUCGGAAUAACGCAGGGAAACUUGUGCUAAUACCGGAUACGCCCUCCGGGGGAAAGAUUUAUCGCCAUUGGAUGAGCCCGCGUCGGAUUAGCUUGUUGGUGAGGUAAUGGCUCACCAAGGCGACGAUCCGUAGCUGGUCUGAGAGGAUGAUCAGCCACACUGGGACUGAGACACGGCCCAGACUCUUACGGGAGGCAGCAGUGGGGAAUAUUGCGCAAUGGAGGAAACUCUGACGCAGCCAUGCCGCGUGAGUGAAGAAGGCCUUAGGGUUGUAAAACUCUUUCAGUGGUGAAGAUAAUGACGGUAGCCACAGAAGAAGCCCCGGCCAACUCCGUGCCAGCAGCCGCGGUAAUACGGAGGGGGCUAGCGUUGUUCGGAAUUACUGGGCGUAAAGCGCGCGUAGGCGGGCUGGUAAGUUGGGGGUGAAAUCCCAGGGCUCAACCCUGGAACUGCCCUCAAUACUGCCAGUCUUGAGUUCGAGAGAGGUAAGUGGAAUUCCUAGUGUAGAGGUGAAAUUCGUAGAUAUUAGGAAGAACACCAGUGGCGAAAGCGGCUUACUGGCUCGAUACU